CGAUCCCUGGCCUGGAUCAGUGGGUUAAGAUCAGGCAUCGAUGCAAGCCGCGGCAAUAGGUUGCAGAUGCAGCUAAGAUUUGAACCCUAGCCUGGGAACUUCCAUAUGCCACAGGAGCAGCCAUAAAGUGAAAAAAAAAAAAAAAUUAACGGCAUUAAAACGGUUUCAAUAGAAAAGUUUUGAAUGGCAAAAAUUACCAGGUAUGUUAGAAGAACAUCUCUUUACAAACAAUUUGUAUGUUUACUAUAAACCAUUCCUACAUAUUCAGCAACAUAGGUCCCCUAAAGAGUACCCUGAACAAGGAACCGCAUAUGUUGUGGGAUUUCCAUUCAGAAAUAAUACUUAUUGGCUUGUAUUACAUUUGAAAUCAUGUCAUUAAUUAUUAAUUACUUUGAUUAAAAUGUUUGUGGGAGUUCCUGUUGUGGCUCAGCAGUAAUGGACCCAACUAAUAUCCAUGAGGAUGUGGGUUUGAUCCCUGGCCUCACAUAGUGGGUUAAGGAUCGAGUGUGGCCAUGAGCUCUAGUGUAGGCUGCAGAUGAGGCUCAGAGCUGGCAUUGUUAUGGGUGUGGCAUAGGCCAGAGGCUGCAGCUCUGAUUCCACCCCCCAGCCUGGGAACUUCCAUGUGCCCUGGGUGCAAGCCUAAGAAGACAAAAAAGAAAAAAAAAAAGUGGUAUUUAAGAGAUGCCUAACAAAAUACAAAUAUCCCUGAGAGAGAUAACACGCCAGGCUCAUUAUCAACGAUUUACCUCUUUUAAGGAAUUUUUUUCAGGACUCUUUGAUGAAAUAUCAAAUCCCUUUCCACCUGUGGUGGUAAAUCCACAGAUUAGGUCACCUAAGGAAGCAUAGCUUAUACCCACGUCUGUCUUGCGACGGCAGGAUAAUCAGGAAAGACUGCUUGUGGCCCCAAAUCCAUCUCCCACCCCCAAUUUUUCUUUUAAAUUUAAGCCAAAAAGGUCUUAGAACACCAUUAAAUGACCACUAUCCCUGAAAGAGGUCACAUGUUAAGCCAACAUAUUAUUUUCACCUCUGAGUAAAUUUGUUCAUCCGUUUUUUCAGGGUGCUAACCAAGCUCUUCCCUCUAAAAUUUCCCAUAAUGUCUUCAAUUACUGCAUUAAGUCCUAAGACUUCAACCUCCGCAGUUAUUGAAAUCUCCCUAAAUGUCUAUAAUUUGCUCUGCAGUUCUAUCCCAGUGAGACCAGAAUAUGUCUGUCUGUUGGACACCUCCUUCUGUCUGUUCUGUGACCAUCUCUUACUCAACUCAACUCAAGCAGUCAACCCAUUCUAUUCCCUUCAAACAUACCUCUUCUCAUCUGUUGUGGGUUCACUUAACUACAUGGUAACUCAAGCAGAGACCUCAGCAGCAUCAUCCACAUGCCGCUUCCCCACGAAUAAUCAAGGAUUAUAUCCUAAAGAUUCCAUCUCUCCCCUGCCUCCUACCUGUCUCCUUCUUCCUGUUCAGAGACCACCACUCUAGCAGGAACCAGCAUUUCGCCUCGCCCAGGCUGUGAAACCCCACUCUGCACCGCACGCAGUUCUUCCCCAAACUGGGCUUUGAUUGUGGGUCAUUCUCCACCUUGAAAUCCUUUAUUGCUCCCCAUUGCUCAUUAAGUUAAAACCAAACUCUUGUUUUUCAGUGUUUAUUAGCCUAUGGCCUCAUCUACCUUCGACUUUCGCAUGCUUUUUUAACCCCACUAGUAAAAUUGGAAUACUCACUAUUGUCUAAAGGUGCCCUUUGCUUUCCAACCUGUGUGCCCCCAAUGGUUUCCUCCACUUGAAAUGCUUUCAUCCAUUUUCCAUUUCUACUCAUGGAGAGCCUAUUGUUCAUGGUCAAGUUCAGAUUUUCAGAUUUUACUUCCUUAAAUAAGUCUUUCUGGUGCUCCCCACAGCUGAAUGUGAUCUGUCCCACCAUGAAACUCAUCUACUAUGCCCUGAAAUACUAAAUAGUACCAUUAUUCCAUGCUUGUUUUAUGCUACGCACGGUAUUGACACCUGCAUAAGUCUAGGGACAGUGUCUUCCUCAUCGCUACCCCACCUGCAGAGCCUACAUGCAUAAAAUGCACAUAAUUAUUGAAGCAAGUUUUAAAGGAGGAUGAUAACGACAGUGGAGGGAUUCCUGGCUUCUGAAAGGGUGGCUUUGCCAAGAAGUGACAUCGCAGGGUCCUGGAAAGCAAGUUUACAUGCUUAGUAACCCGAGGACUACAGCUUAGGACAGGCAUCUCGGCAAUGAAUGGAAAUCUGCUUUGGGGGAAAGGAGCGCCGUUCCAGAGAAACGGCAUCCACCUGGGGACUCUCAGGUGGGCAGUGCAGCAUGAAGGGAUUUGAGUUCUUGGGGAUCUUAGGAGUGUCAGCGAAUUCUAGAACAGGCAAAUGGGCUGGUGAUGAAAUGAACUGCCUGUUUCACCAUUCUACGUACACUAGACUAAAGGAGCUUGAUUUUUGCCUUGUUUGAGUUUCCAUACAUACAUGAAACUGUCAGUCAAUUGCUCAGUCAGUCAAUACACAUUUAUUGAGUGCUUUCAGCAUGCCAAGUGCUAUGCUAGGUGCUGAGAUACAGGGGGAGUUCCCGUGGUGGCGCAGUGGUUAACGAAUCCGACUAGGAACCAUGAGGUUGCGGGUUCGGUCCCUGCCCUUGCUCAGUGGGUUAACGAUCCGGCGUUGCCGUGAGCUGUGGUGUAGGUUGCAGACGCGGCUCGGAUCCCGCGUUGCUGUGGCUCUGGCAUAGGCCGGUGGCUACAGCUCCGAUUCGACCCCUAGCCUGGGAACCUCCAUAUGCCGCGGGAGCGGCCCAGGAAAUGGCAACAACAACAACAACAACAACAAAAAAAAAGACAAAAAAAAAAAAGACAAAAAAAAAAAAAAAAAGAACU
rnacentral:lncRNA from 1 species